UUCUUUAUGGGUGGUGUGUGUGUGUGUGUGUGUGUGUGAGAGAGAGGGUGUGUGUGUGUGUGACAGAGAGAGGUUGUGUGUGUGAGAGAGGUGUAUGUGUGUACAUGUCUGUGUGUGUGUGUGUGAGAGAGGUGUGUGUGAAGGAAGUGUGUGUGGGAGAGAGAGGUGUGUGUAUGUGUGUGAGAGAGAGGUGUGUGUAUGUGUGUGUGAGAGAGGUGUGUGUGAAGGAAGUGUGUGUGGGAGAGAGAGGUGUGUGUAUGUGUGUGAGAGAGAGGUGUGUGUAUGUGUGUGAGAGUGCUGUGUGUGUGUGUGUGUGUGUGAGAGAGGUGUGUGUGAAGGAAGUGUGUGUGGGAGAGAGAGGUGUGUGUAUGUGUGUGAGAGAGAGGUGUGUGUAUGUGUGUGAGAGUGCUGUGUGUGUAUGUGUGUGAGAG